UGUAAGCGUAUAUCAAAGUUGUUGCAGUUAAAACGCUCGUAGUCGGACUUUGGCAGUUCCGGAGGUGUGCGCGUCGAGCGCGCGCCUCGCGGGGAUUGCUUUUGUGGUGUAGCAAAGGAUGAGGCACUUCAUUGUGAACGUCCCGCGCUCCCACUCUUUACUGUGAAAAAAAUAAAGUGCUCAACGCAGGCAUUUGUCGUGAAUAUAUUAGCAUGGAAUAAUAGAAUAGGACUUUGUUCUAUUUUGUUGGUUUGUUGGAUCAAAGUAAUGAUUAAGAGGGACAGUUGGGGGCAUUUGUAUUACGGCGCUAGAGGUGAAAUUCUUAGAUUGCCGUAAGACACACUGCUGCGAAAGCGUCUGCCAAGGANGUUUUCAUUGA
rnacentral:rRNA from 1 species